AAAUCACAACUUAGAAUGACGAAAGAGAAUAGAUAGUUGUAU
rnacentral:guide_RNA from 1 species